AGGCANGCCAGCUUGUUGCCUGCGUCAACACUUCUGAGGGAACCAGAGUUUGUUACUCGCUCAGGACGAACGCUGGCGGCGUGCUUAACACAUGCAAGUCGAACGGUAAGGCCCUUCGGGGUACACGAGUGGCGAACGGGUGAGUAACACGUGAGUAACCUGCCCCGGACUCUGGGAUAAGCAUUCGAAAGGGUGUCUAAUACUGGAUAGGACUCCUGCCUGCAUGGGUGGGGGUGGAAAGAUUUUUUGGUUCGGGAUGGGCUCGCGGCCUAUCAGCUUGUUGGUGGGGUGAUGGCCUACCGAGGCGUCGACGGGUAGCCGGCCUGAGAGGGCGACCGGCCACACUGGGACUGAGAUACGGCCCAGACUCCUACGGGAGGCAGCAGUGGGGAAUAUUGCGCAAUGGGCGGAAGCCUGACGCAGCAACGCCGCGUGCGGGAUGACGGCCUUCGGGUUGUAAACCGCUUUCACCCAUGACGAAAAUUUUUUUGACGGUAGUGGGAGAAGAAGCACCGGCCAACUACGUGCCAGCAGCCGCGGUGAUACGUAGGGUGCGAGCGUUGUCCAGAAUUAUUGGGCGUAAAGAGCUUGUAGGCGGUUUGUCGCGUCGGAAGUGAAAACUCGGGGCUUAACUUCGAGCUUGCUUCCGAUACGGGCUGACUAGAGGAAGUUAGGGGAGAACGGAAUUCCUGNUGNAGCGGUGGAAUGCGCAAAUAUCANGAGGAACACCGGUGGCGAAGGCGGUUCUCUGGGACUUUCUGACG
rnacentral:rRNA from 1 species